UUUUCAGUGUCGCAGGGAAACCGAUAAACACACCGCCUGGGGAGUACGACCGCAAGGUUAAAACUCAAAUGAAUUGACGGGGACCCGCACAAGUAGUGGAGCAUGUGGUUUAAUUCGAAGAUACGCGCAGAACCUUACCAACACUUGACAUGUUCGUCGCGACUCUAAGAGAUUAGAGUUUUCGGUUCGGCCGGACGAAACACAGGUGCUGCAUGGCUGUCGUCAGCUCGUGUCGUGAGAUGUUGGGUUAAGUCCCGCAACGAGCGCAACCCUCACUUUUAGUUGCCAUCAUUAAGUUGGGCACUCUGAAAGAACUGCCAGUGAUAAGCUGGAGGAAGGUGGGGAUGACGUCAAGUCCUCAUGGCCCUUACGUGUUGGGCUACACACGUGCUACAAUGGUAUCUACAACAGGAAGCAAGACUGCGAAGUUAAGCAAAUCCCUAAAAGAUACCUCAGUUCGGAUUGCACUCUGCAACUCGAGUGCAUGAAGCUGGAAUUACUAGUAAUCGUGGAUCAGCGUGCCACGGUGAAUGCGUUCCCGGGUCUUGUACACACCGCCCGUCACACCAUGGGAGUUGGUUCUACCUUAAGGCAAGGUUUUAAACCCUUGACCACGGUAUAGUCAGCGACUGGGGUGAAGUCGUAACAAGGUAGCCGUAGGGGAACCUGCGGCUGGAUUACCUCCUU
rnacentral:rRNA from 1 species